UACACAGAGAAACCCUGUCUCAAAAAACCAACCAACCAAAAACAAACAACAAACAACAAACAAAACAUUUAGCUCUCUGUUACUGAAUAAUCUUAUAGUAACAGAAAGGAAAACAGAAGGCUCAAGAAAAAUCCGUGGGCAACACUCUUGCCAAGGUUUGCAGAGAUACUCUUGCAUAUCACCAGAGACAGGGAGCUCAUUACCUGUUUGUUAAGGCAGUACAUGUUGGAUAUCCCCACUCUGGAAACUCCUAAUUUGAGAUGUUCCUGAAUCCAACGCUUUUGGAAGGCUGUGUGGUACUUCAAGAAGAAAACUCACAGCUCCUAGACAGAAUGUAACUACACAAAAGUCUGUACACAGUUACCUCCAGGCUAUGAGCUAUAUAGAGAAAAGAAGUGAAUUUUGUCUUUAAAUAUUGGUGCCAUACCCAAGGCAUUUCAUCAUGUGUACACAGACAAUCCAUAUCAGAAGCACUUCUGUCCCAGGGAUUUCAACCUUUCCUAUGGCUCUCAUUCCAGGAGUCACCACAUUGUUGCUGAACGUAGUGUGGGCACUCAAGAACCAUGUAGGUUAGAACUCCUGAAGUCAAAGAGACUCCUAUCUCGGUUUCCCGAGUAACUGAGAUUAGCCACCGCACCGUGGCUGGCUGGUCCCAAGGAUUUCAGAGACUCUGUUUGCACUUGGUUCAUUUUAGAGCAUUUCCGUGUCUGAGGUUGCAGACAGUAGAACAGGCCUGAUACAGAGCAAUGUUCUGGGAGGCCGAGACAGUCUGGACAGGUGCACUCUCUUUCUCUCUCCCUUCAUGUUUUGCUAUUCCUCCUGGUGUCGUGUGGAUGUCCUCGGAUUUCUAGAUUGGAAGUUCUUUCCUUCUUUAUUUUGGUUAACAAGAACAGCAAAUAACACACUUUGCAAGGACAGCUACCUCCUUUGGUCUGCUGAGUGGCUCAGCUUCAUGGACCCUGUUUCUAGGAAGAUUAUAGCAGGUCUCUCAGCUGGCACAAGAACAGACCAGAGAGACACUGACCCACACCAAUAUGCUCAGGAAGUAAGUUAUUUGUCCAAAGUUACACAUUCAUAAACCAAGAUGUCAGGCUGGGUCUACCAGCAUGGGGAGUCCAAGCUGUGUGUCUGUCUUAUUUCUCACUCGGGAUGGAUGUACAGGGUGGAUAGAGGUCGUGAGUCCCAUGGGAGGCAAGCUUGAGUGGGCGAUGAGAUUUGUAGAACUUAGGGGAGUUAACUGGCUCCCCGCAUGGGGGCUUGGAGGCAUCGCUGAUACCACAAGGUUGCUGGCAGGGUAUUCAUGGGCCAUGGUCUUUGUCCCCUGAACAGUGUCCAGGAGGGAGAAUGUGUGAGUGACAGGUGGAGCUGCUGAGCUCAGGUGCAGUUUAGGGGUAGUAGAGGUUCCUGUGGAACACUCCUCCCAAGAGCCCCCAGCAGGGUGGCUCAGGCUCAGUGACAUUGCCUCCCCAGUGAUCUUGGAGUAUAGACUCUUUCAGGACAUCCUGAGACUGGCUGUGCUCCAGGUCUAGAACAAAGGGCCCAGGGUGCUCUGGAGCAGGAGGCUUCGGGUGGAGAGGUAGACAGCUCAGCACAGCUAAGAGGCUGCUGUCCUCACAGGGACCUAGGGCCCCGUGCCAGCCAACAGGGUCAGACAUGACUUCCUAAAGAUGUGGGUACUGCCUUUCUGGUAUAUCUGGGGACUGUGGUGUUUCCCCUCUGGGCUGAGGUCGACAGGUUUGGAAAAUAUGGGUCCAAAGAACCCAAAGAAGUUUAGGGCUGGGGCUACCCACUGCAGGUAGGAGUCUGUGGAGGAAGCAGCUCUGGCACCAGCAGAGGAAGGAGCCCUUACUAUACUCCUGGGAAGAUGGCCCUGUAGCAGAGUGAUCUAGGCAGGGUCUCUUAGACAUCCCAGCCUCUGCAUUUCCACCCCAUGCACAGCCAGGGGCCCAGUCAUAAUUCCAUGCUUCCCGCUCUUUCCCCUGCCUUGUUCACAGAGUGCCCAUCCAAGGCAACUGUGAAAGUGAGCCCUCAGCUGCAUGGGGAAAGAGAGGGAUAUAGAUAGCCUGUGAAAGAGAGAAAGAUGGGGGGGGGGGAGGUGGGCACCACACUCAGGGAGGGAGCCACUGUCACUCAGACACAGCUGGAUCAAGAGGCAGAGAAGUAAAAGUGGAGACAAGAGAAAGGCUGAGGUAGGAGCAGGUCCUGAGAGAGGAACUGGGUAGAAGGAAACAGCUAUGUGUGGACAGAAGAGAGGGAAGGGCCAAGAAAGAGAGGCAGGGAACCCCACAUAGAUACACAGAGGACCAAUAAGGACAAAGGUCACCUAUGGCUCAGGGCCAUAAACUGGGGCCAGGAAGAGGUGCAGGACAAGUGGGAGACAGCACAAAGGGCAGGUGAGAAGAGGCGGUGAGGAAGGAGGAAAUGUGGGGAGGUGAGCACCAUGUGGGAAUGAGAAACUGUGUGUGUAGAUCAGAGAAGGGAAGGGCAGGGCUGGCACUGAGCUCUGUCCGUGGAGGACUGGGGCCAGCAGCAGCCACUGGUCUGAGAUCCCUCUGGUUGGCUAUGCAUUGCCUAAGGAGCCAGCUGCCCCAGGCUGCCUCCUACAGAGUCUGGAGGUUCCAGUCCUCAGUCUGUUAUGGUUGCUGUGGCCACACCUGAUUGUGCUCUCCUGAAGAGCCAAGAUUUGGGGCACUGGUGGGUCCUGUGCAGAGUGAAAGCUGAGAGCAGGUCAGCACGGCAAGACUGCUAUCAAGGAGACAUGUGUAGUUCCGGGUCUUGGGGCUCAUUAUCGACUGCAGCAGUUGCUGUGGCUGCUGGACCAUCAGGAUCUGUGGAUGUGUUUAGACAGAUGGAGGAAUUACAGAUGGGCUCAGGAGCUGUACGCGGGAUACUGGAGGUUGGUGCUUUCUCCCUGGAGGCUGAGAUUUGCAACUCUAGGCUAGAUUUGUAAACUGUCAAAUCUCAAGGCAUUUGAACUCUGCUCUGAGGGGGCAGUGUGAAGUUAUAAGCCGUGAUGGUCAUGAUCACAGCUGCCUGUGCUUUAAGAGGUAGGGGAUUGAGCAGGAAGGGAACACAGAGAUGGUAAGAGACACUGGAAGGGGAUAGGAUAAUGUUAAAAUGGAUGAUGGUGAUGUUUGCUGACCCUGAUGGUACCGAUGAGGUGAUGAUAAAGGCAAUGGCAGUAGUUGAGGGAGUGUGCUGGUGAAGAUGGUGAUGGUGGUGGUGUUGACAGCAAUGGCAAUGACAAAGUGAUGAUGUUGACCGUGAUAUUUGUGUGUUUGUGGUGAUGGUAUCGACGGUGUUGAUGAUGAUUAUGGUGAUGGUAGUAGUCUUGGUGGUGGUAAUGGUGAUGGGUCAUGGUGGUAAUGUUUGUAAUAUUGGUGGCGAUGUUUAUGGUCUUGGUGGUGACAAUGAUGAUAGUGGCUUUUUUUUUUUAAGUUGGCAGUGAUGCUGAUGAUUAUGGUGAUGAUAGUGGUGGUUGUGGUGCUGCUGUUGAUGGUGGUGACAGCGAUGGUGAAGGCUGUGGUUGUGGUAAUGUUGGCAGUAGUGAAUCCUGACCAGGAGAGAAUCUAGAAGGUGCAGAAGAGCUGAUGUAAUGGUAUUUGAUGACAGGAGCCAUUUGCAUUAGGGGAGGUGUGAGGUGAUGGCUUUGGAUGUUCUUAUAGCCUAUCGGAUAUCUAGGUGGUGUCCAGUGGACAGUGAGUACUGGGAUCUGGAAUUUAGCCAGACAAAGAUGAGAGCGGUAGAGAAUACACCUGCUUUGGGCAUGAGAUGCCCGAGAGAGGGCACAGAGGGACAGAACCAGAGCCAGGGUCUCUGUGGCUUCCUGAUGUUCAGAAGGGUUUCCGAGUCUCCAGGCUUCCUAGGCUCUGCCCAGGGGCUGGAAUCCAGGCUUCUCUGCUUGCCUCUCACCAGUGUCACACUCAGUGUUUUUAUUCCUCGCCAGGUUCUCAGGAGGAUGACAUUUGAAAAGGGAGCUCUGUGCUAAAAAAAAAAAAAAUCUCUUUCUAACCCAGGUGAAGGAAUUGCCAUCCUGUGGGGUUAAGAGAAGGGCCUGGGUGACCCCUUGUGACAGCUGGUCCAGGCUGGAAUCAAUCUGGAGCUCUGCAAAGGGAUCGUGGUGUGUGGAGCAGCCUGCGAAUAGGGAUCUCUUUAUAAGGAGGCUCCCUUCUCCCUUAACAAGCCCAGCGAGUCUGCAGUGGGUCUGGUGGAGGGGGUUGCAGCAGAGACGGUGGCAGGGCUUGAGGAGGUGCCUGAUUACAAGUCCUCUAAAACCUGGGCUAUGGCUCCAGCCAGAUGUCGUCCCAGUGAGCACGUGGCCCUGCUGUGGCCCCAGUUUGGCUGCCGAUGACUGCCUGGCCUUUCCUGCCCUCUCCUGCCACAGGCCCUCACACCAGGCCGGAAUGUCCUCAGGAAGCGGCAUCUCGCUCUGCAGAGGGAGCUUUGCUUCUGGACUCCUGGCUGCAGCUCCAGCCAGGAUGUUUUGCAAUGAGCCUGGGGAAGCGUCCAUUCCGGGAAGAUCAGGGAGUGGACGGUGCUUGCCAGCAGGGGUCUGGGUGAGAGGGCAGCCACUGCCUGCUGGGCUGGGGUGGGACAGCCCAUUCCUCAGGCCCUGUGGGACCUUGGCCUCUAAGCUGUUUAUCUGUCUGUCUGCCUGUCCAUCUGGAUUAGAGGGGCUGGCUUGCUCACUUCAGUUCCCCAAAGGGCUCCCAACUGCAGGGCAGCUUGAGCCUUCUUUCGCUUUAUUUCAUCUUGGAAUGUUUUUGAAUAUGACUCAAAAGCGAUUACAAAUUGAAAAGGUACGCCUGCUUCCAGCCACACUGCCCCUGCCCAGGAUCCUGGGCCCCAGGAGUAAACUCCCUCAAGUCCCUUUUGUAGUUUGUUGUCUAGUGUUCUGUUUGCAAACAGAAGUGGCUGCUCCUACCCCAGAGGAAUCAUGCUAUGUGCGAUGCUUAGGGCUUUGUUCUCCAAAGGGCCACAUGACUGUCUGCACAGGACUCCAGCAGGGGUCAUCAAGCGCCAUGUGGAUCCCUCACAUAGGACUGUCUGUAUUUGCUUUGGAGGAACAUGCUGGAGGUGCAAGGCUCUCUACUUUCUUAAGAGCCAGUCCCUUCUCUGGUCUAACCUGUUCCUCCUACUUUCUCAUGUAGCCACAUUGACAGGAGAAGACCCCGAGGAAGCAUGCCCAAGGGAAAACUGUAAAUGACAAAGCCGAGGACUUCAAUUCAGGUGGACUGGGAUUCGACUCUUUCCUCUUUGUCUGUUGUACUGUUGGGAACUUUAGACCUAUGGAGUCUUCUAUUUUUAGGAGCCAGACCUUCGAAAAUUGGAGAGGGCCAGCCAGUAUGUCAAGAUCUCACGGCUGCCCUUCCCUCUUGUCCUGACACCUGAGCUCUCCUGUGUGUGAAGGAUUUCCGCAUGCCCAGAAGACAGCUUCAAGCUUCCAGAGCCAGGCACACUUAUAGAAGAAAGGAAUAAAACCAUUUUACAGAUGUG